rnacentral:rRNA from 1 species
UACGGGGGGGGCAAGCGUUGUUCGGAAUUACUGGGCGUAAAGGGCUCGUAGGUGGCCAACUAAGUCAGACGUGAAAUCCCUCGGCUUAACCGGGGAACUGCGUCUGAUACUGGAUGGCUUGAGUUUGGGAGAGGGACGCGGAAUUCCAGGUGUAGCGGUGAAAUGCGUUGAUAUCGAUAGGAACUCCGGUGGCGAAGGCGGCAUACUGGACCACUUCUGACGCUGAGGCGCGAAAGCCAGGGGAGCAAACGGG